rnacentral:tRNA from 1 species
GUCCCCAUAGCUCAAUUGGAUAGAGCGUUGGCCUCCGGAGCCAAAGGUUAGAGGUUCGACUCCUCUUGGGGACGCCA